rnacentral:rRNA from 1 species
AGUCGAACGGGAUUGGAGAGCUUGCUUUCCAUGAGAGUGGCGUACGGGCGCGUAACGCGUAUGCAACCUACCCUCAUCAGGGGGAUAUGCCGAAGAAAUUCGGAUUAACACCGCAUAAAAACACAACCUGGCAUCAGGAAAUGUUCAAAUAUUUAUAGGAUGAAGAUGGGCAUGCGUGUCAUUAGCUAGUUGGUGCGGUAACGGCUCACCAAGGCGACGAUGACUAGGGGAUCUGAGAGGAUGACCCCCCACACUGGUACUGAGACACGGGCCAGACUCCUACGGGAGGCAGCAGUAAGGAAUAUCGGUCAAUGGAGGCAACUCUGAACCAGCCAUGCCGCGUGCAGGAAGACAGCCCUAUGGGUAGUCAACUGCUUUUAUACGGGAAUAAACCCUGAUUCGUGAAUCGAGCUGAAUGUACCGUAAGAAUAAGGAUCGGCUAACUCCGUGCCAGCAGCCGCGGUAAUACGGAGGAUCCAAGCGUUAUCCGGAUUUAUUGGGUCUAAAGGGAGCGUGGGCGGCUUGUUAAGUCAGGGGUGAAAGACGGUGGCUCAACCAUCGCAGUGCCUUUGAUACUGACGAGCUUGAAUAUAGUUGAGGUAGGCGGAAUGUGACAAGUAGCGGUGAAAUGCAUAGAUAUGUCACAGAACAUUGCGAAGGCAGCUUACUAAGCUAUUAUUGACGCUGAGGCUCGAAAGCGUGGGGAUCAAACAGGGUUAGAUACCCUGGUAGUCCACGCCCUAAACGAUGAUAACUCGAUGUUGGCGAUAUACAGUCAGCGUCCAAGGCGAAAUGCGUUAAGUUAUCCACCUGGGGAGUACGCCCGUGAUUGUGAAACUCAAAUGAAUUGACGAUCUGCCCGCACAUAGGCGGAGGAGCAUGUGGUUUAAUUCGAUGAUACGCGAGGAACCUUACCCGGGCUUGAAAGCUACUGAAGAAUUUAGAGAUAGAUUCGUCCUUCGGGGCAGGAAACUAGGUGCUGCAUGGCUGUCGUCAGCUCGUGCCGUGAGGUGUUGGGUUAAGUCCCGCAACGAGCGCAACCCCUAUGACUGUACGACAGCACAUUAUGGUGGGGACUCUAAAAUCGUAGCCUGUGCUAACAGAGAGGAAGGAGGGGACGACGUCAAGUCAUCAUGGCCCUUACGUCCGGGGCUACACACGUGCUACAAUGGGAUGGUACAGAGGGCAGCUAGCGUAGCAUGAAGCAAAUCUCAAAAAGCCAUUCGCAGUUCGGAUCGGGGUCUGCAACUCGACCCCGUGAAGUUGGAUUCGCUAGUAGUCGCGUAUCAGCAAUGACGCGGUGAAUACGUUUCCCGGGUCCUUGUACGCAGCGGCCCGAUCAAGGCCAAUGGAAAGUUGGGGGUGGCUAAAGUCCGUAACCGUAAGGAGCGGCCUAGGGUAAAACCGAUAACUGGGGCUAAGUCGUAACAAGUUAACCGUA